rnacentral:rRNA from 1 species
GCUUGCUCCCUGAGAUCAGCGGCGGACGGGUGAGUAACACGUGGGUAACCUGCCUGUAAGACUGGGAUAACUCCGGGAAACCGGGGCUAAUACCGGAUAACCCCUACCCCCUCAUGGGGGAAGGUUGAAAGGUGGCUUCGGCUAUCACUUACAGAUGGGCCCGCGGCGCAUUAGCUAGUUGGUAAGGUAACGGCUCACCAAGGCGACGAUGCGUAGCCGACCUGAGAGGGUGAUCGGCCACACUGGGACUGAGACACGGCCCAGACUCCUACGGGAGGCAGCAGUAGGGAAUCUUCCGCAAUGGACGAAAGUCUGACGGAGCAACGCCGCGUGAGUGAUGAAGGUUUUCGGAUCGUAAAACUCUGUUGUUAGGGAAGAACAAGUGCCGUUCGAAUAGGGCGGCGCCUUGACGGUACCUAACCAGAAAGCCACGGCUAACUACGUGCCAGCAGCCGCGGUAAUACGUAGGUGGCAAGCGUUGUCCGGAAUUAUUGGGCGUAAAGCGCGCGCAGGCGGUCUCUUAAGUCUGAUGUGAAAGCCCACGGCUCAACCGUGGAGGGUCAUUGGAAAC